CUCAACAAUCCAGGCAACUGCCCUAGGGGAACAUCGAGUGAUACUCAUUUUGGGUGUCUGUCCCACCGUCUAAAAAACGGUGGUUAGCAAGGGCCGGGCAAGACCGGUGCCAGCCGCCGCGGUAAUACCGGCGGCUCGAGUGGUGGCCGAUAUUAUUGAGUCUAAAGGGUCCGUAGCCGGCUUUGUAAGUCUUUUGGGAAAUCCAGCGGCUUAACCGUUAGUCGUCCGAGAGAUACUACAUUGCUUGGGACUGGGAUAGGUAAUAGGUACUCAGGGGGUAUGA
rnacentral:rRNA from 1 species